GUUUGGAUAGCUCAGAUUGGGUUAGAGCAGAGGAUUGAAAAUCCUCGUGUCAUAGGUUCAAAUCCUAUUCCAAACA
rnacentral:tRNA from 1 species